rnacentral:tRNA from 1 species
GACAAGGUGGCUGAAUGUUAUAGGUGAUAAAUUGUAAAUUUAUUUAUGGUAGAUAUACCCCUUGUCA